ACAGGAUUAGAUACCCUGGUAGUCCACGCCGUAAACGAUGAGUGCUAAGUGUUGGAGGGUUUCCGCCCUUCAGUGCUGCAGCUAACGCAUUAAGCACUCCGCCUGGGGAGUACGACCGCAAGGUUGAAACUCAAAGGAAUUGACGGGGGCCCGCACAAGCGGUGGAGCAUGUGGUUUAAUUCGAAGCAACGCGAAGAACCUUACCAGGUCUUGACAUCCUUUGACCACUCUAGAGAUAGAGCUUCCCCUUCGGGGGCAAAGUGACAGGUGGUGCAUGGUUGUCGUCAGCUCGUGUCGUGAGAUGUUGGGUUAAGUCCCGCAACGAGCGCAACCCUUAUUGUUAGUUGCCAUCAUUUAGUUGGGCACUCUAGCAAGACUGCCGGUGACAAACCGGAGGAAGGUGGGGAUGACGUCAAAUCAUCAUGCCCCUUAUGACCUGGGCUACACACGUGCUACAAUGGGAAGUACAACGAGUCGCAAAGUCGCGAGGCUAAGCUAAUCUCUUAAAGCUUCUCUCAGUUCGGAUUGUAGGCUGCAACUCGCCUACAUGAAGCCGGAAUCGCUAGUAAUCGCGGAUCAGCACGCCGCGGUGAAUACGUUCCCGGGCCUUGUACACACCGCCCGUCACACCACGAGAGUUUGUAACACCCGAAGUCGGUGAGGUAACCUUUUGGAGCCAGCCGCCUAAGGUGGGAUAGAUGAUUGGGGUGAAGUCGUAACAAGGUAGCCGUAUCGGAAGGUGCGGCUG
rnacentral:rRNA from 1 species